rnacentral:rRNA from 1 species
AGAGUUUGAUCAUGGCUCAGAACGAACGCUGGCGGCACGCCUAACACAUGCAAGUCGAGCGCCCAGCAAUGGGAGCGGCGGACGGGUGAGUAACACGUGGGAACAUGCCUUUCGGUACGGAACAACUCAGGGAAACUUGAGCUAAUGCCGUAUACGCCCUUACGGGGAAAGAUUUAUCGCCGAUUGAUUGGCCCGCGUCUGAUUAGCUAGUUGGUGAGGUAAUGGCUCACCAAGGCUUCGAUCAGUAGCUGGUUUGAGAGAACGACCAGCCACAUUGGGACUGAGACACGGCCCAAACUCCUACGGGAGGCAGCAGUGGGGAAUCUUGGACAAUGGGGGAAACCCUGAUCCAGCGAUGCCGCGUGAGUGAUGAAGGCCUUCGGGUUGUAAAACUCUUUCGACGGGGACGAUAAUGACGGUACCCGUAGAAGAAGCUCCGGCUAACUUCGUGCCAGCAGCCGCGGUAAUACGAAGGGGGCUAGCGUUGUUCGGAAUUACUGGGCGUAAAGCGCGCGCAGGCGGCCAAUCAAGUCAGGGGUGAAAGCCCAGAGCUCAACUCUGGAACUGCCCUUGAAACUGUUUGGCUUGAGUACGGGAGAGGUGAGUGGAAUUCCCAGUGUAGAGGUGAAAUUCGUAGAUAUUGGGAAGAACACCGGUGGCGAAGGCGGCUCACUGGCCCGUUUCUGACGCUCAGGCGCGACAGCGUGGGGAUCAAACAGGAUUAGAUACCCCGGUAGUCC